CGUAAAGAUGUCAGAGGGUAAGGA
rnacentral:piRNA from 1 species